GCACAACGCGAAGAACCUUACCUGGUCUUGACAUCCACGGAACUUUCCAGAGAUGGAUUGGUGCCUUCGGGAACCGUGAGACAGGUGCUGCAUGGCUGUCGUCAGCUCGUGUCGUGAGAUGUUGGGUUAAGUCCCGCAACGAGCGCAACCCUUGUCCUUAGUUGCCAGCACGUAAUGGUGGGAACUCUAAGGAGACCGCCGGUGACAAACCGGAGGAAGGGUGGGGAUGACGUCAAGUCAUCAUCGGCCCUUACGACCGAGGGCUACACACGUACUACAAGUGGGAAGGACAGGAGGGCUGCAACUCCCGCGAGGGGGGAGCCAAUCCCAGAAACCUUCUCUCAGUCCGGAUCGGAGUCUGCAACUCGACUCCGUGAAGUCGGAAUCGCUAGUAAUCGCGAAUCAGAAUGUCGCGGUGAAUACGUUCCCGGGUCUUGUACACACCG
rnacentral:rRNA from 1 species